AGUCGAGCGAUGGAUUAAGAGCUUGCUCUUAUGAAGUUAGCGGCGGACGGGUGAGUAACACGUGGGUAACCUGCCCAUAAGACUGGGAUAACUCCGGGAAACCGGGGCUAAUACCGGAUAAUAUUUUGAACUGCAUGGUUCGAAAUUGAAAGGCGGCUUCGGCUGUCACUUAUGGAUGGACCCGCGUCGCAUUAGCUAGUUGGUGAGGUAACGGCUCACCAAGGCAACGAUGCGUAGCCGACCUGAGAGGGUGAUCGGCCACACUGGGACUGAGACACGGCCCAGACUCCUACGGGAGGCAGCAGUAGGGAAUCUUCCGCAAUGGACGAAAGUCUGACGGAGCAACGCCGCGUGAGUGAUGAAGGCUUUCGGGUCGUAAAACUCUGUUGUUAGGGAAGAACAAGUGCUAGUUGAAUAAGCUGGCACCUUGACGGUACCUAACCAGAAAGCCACGGCUAACUACGUGCCAGCAGCCGCGGUAAUACGUAGGUGGCAAGCGUUAUCCGGAAUUAUUGGGCGUAAAGCGCGCGCAGGUGGUUUCUUAAGUCUGAUGUGAAAGCCCACGGCUCAACCGUGGAGGGUCAUUGGAAACUGGGAGACUUGAGUGCAGAAGAGGAAAGUGGAAUUCCAUGUGUAGCGGUGAAAUGCGUAGAGAUAUG
rnacentral:rRNA from 1 species